rnacentral:rRNA from 1 species
GACGAACGCUGGCGGCGUGCUUAACACAUGCAAGUCGAACGGUGAAGCGAGUGCUUGCACUCGUGGAUCAGUGGCGAACGGGUGAGUAACACGUGAGUAACCUGCCCAUCACUCUGGGAUAAGCACUGGAAACGGUGUCUAAUACUGGAUACGACCAACCCUUGCAUGGGGUGUUGGUGGAAAGAUUUAUCGGUGAUGGAUGGACUCGCGGCCUAUCAGCUUGUUGGCGGGGUAAUGGCCCACCAAGGCGACGACGGGUAGCCGGCCUGAGAGGGUGACCGGCCACACUGGGACUGAGACACGGCGCAGACUCCUACGGGAGGCAGCAGUGGGGAAUAUUGCACAAUGGGCGAAAGCCUGAUGCAGCGACGCCGCGUGAGGGAUGACGGCCUUCGGGUUGUAAACCUCUUUCAGCAGAGAAGAAGCGAAAGUGACGGUACCUGCAGAAGAAGCACCGGCUAACUACGUG